CAUAAAAUCUAAAACAGACUAUCCCGUUAAUAGUGGGAUUUAUCAAUGAUUAUGUAUGUACCCAGUUGUGAAUGUGGCCUCAUACAUAGAUGGCUUUUAAACAUACACCGCAAAAAAAUGUAUUUGAGUCAGUUAGGGAUUGUUUCUUAUUGUUAUUUUAAGAUUUGUGGAAACUAACUAACUAACUAACUAACUAACUGAAUGAAUAAAAAAAAUCCAAAGGGUAAUUAUAGAAAUUUGGCUAGAUUUUAAUGGGCAUAGAGAAUGAGCUCCAGAGGUCAAUAAACCCCUCGAAAAUGAUGAAUGAUUGAGUACCUGUGAUGAUGAUAGUGAUUACCAGAGCAAUUAAACAGUUUGAUUAAAUGAGCCAUCAUAACAAUGAUGUCUGCGGGAAAUCAGCCCUCACAUAUAAAGAAAGAUAGUGUGGAGGGCUGACAAACGCCAGUGGGCAUUCCUACGAGUUCUGAUAGUGGUGAGCCCUGCAGAGCAGACUGUAUUUACAAAUAUCAGAGCAAUAUGGAGAAAAGUCUCUCAUAUACUUUUAGCCAGACUUGCACCUUGCUUUAAAAGCGUCAGAAGGCGAAGAGCAGACCGGUUAUUUUUCCCCUAGAGGAUCUCUUCCAAGAUUAAAGAUAGCUCUAAGUGCAACCGAUAUUCUGUGACUUGACUUUCACGGGACUAUAAAGAAAGCACUGCAGCCUUGACUUCGCUGGGCCGUUUACACGCGGGAGAGAAUUUGCGCUGGGGUCGCCCUUGCAAAUACCGGGGCGGUACUUUCAUCCGCUGAAGAGCCCAGAAACCGCGGAAAAGUUAUUAAUCAGAGCAGUCUCUCCAGCCGCGUAACGCACUCCGAGCCCGGAGAGCGCUAUCUUGACCACGAGCAAACCGCUGGCUUCUCUGCUGGGUUUCACGUCGAAGUUUGGCCCGCUCCUCCUAUUGCUGUUUUGGAACAAAACUUGGUCGAGAGCUUUUCCUUGUGGUCAUCAGCGUUAUUAUUUUUCAAAAUAACCGUAAAGUGGAAUCCUGCCGCUCCUUGACUGCAGCCAGCCUGGGGACUGGUUGGUGGAUAGUGCUAUUUCACACUUUUUUCAUACUGUUCAAGCCAAAAUGUGUUGGUCCCCUCUCCACCCCUUCCUAGAAAUGUACACAACCAAAUCACCUCGGACAGAUUUCCCUUCCUCUACGUGCCAGGAUAAUAACGGAUUACAAUGAAGAGUACUCCCACCUUCCGGAAGCUAAAGGUUAAGCGGGAAGGUUCAAAAUAACACUGCCGUGGAAGGGCUAAUGCAGCUACCAAAAGCCCCUCACAAGGUGGAUGAAGAGGAACUAGAAGAAACAACAAAUAGGCUCAUCAAAUCUCAGGCUAUCACUACAUCCAUGACCAAUUUCAGGGUACCUAAGAAAGUCUAGAGAGCUGUAUUCAUUAUGAAUUGUGCUGGCAAUUGUAUGUUUUUAAAUAAAAAAAUAAUGACGGUGUCAAAGGACAUGGGUAUAGAAUGAAGUGACUUUACUCUUCAAAGCAAACAAUGAAGUUUCAUGACUAGGCAGCUCACUAUAUUCAGAGACUUUAAUUACUCAGAGCUCUUUCCCUCACAGAUAGCUGAUAAGACUCAAAGGACACAACCCAUCUCUGGUGUACUCCACUGACUUCAAUAGCGUUCCACCAGGGAUGGAUUGGCCUAAGUGUUUCUGGCAGGAUUAUGCUAAUAUAAUAAUAUUUAUAAUAAUCUGCAUGCAGAAAGCCAGGGAACGAGAGAUUUGACCUCUGCUAAUCAUGUAGAUCUGCACACUCCAAAAGAUCUGAAAAUCAUCUUGUAGGUCUCAUCUGCUAGAGGAGAAGAUGCUUUUGAAGGGAAUUGGCCUUCCAGCUGUGCUUCCCUUCAGGCAAUCCCCUCCAUAUGGUGUUACCCUUCAAUAUUUUGGGGUCCAAACCUAUAGACAAAACUCCCAUUGAUUUAAAAGAGAUUUUUGCCUGACUGAGGAAUACAGGACAGGGCUGUCUACCUGAUUCUGCAAGAGCUGAGCACCUCAUGAAAAGUGCUGAGUAUGCCUAAUUCCCAUUGACUUUAAUAGGAAUUAUGGACCUUCAACACAUAGUAGUAAGCUCCUGGCACCUCACAGGAUCAGGUCCUUAAUUAAUAUUUUAGCUAUUGUCAGUCAUCGUUUUUGUAUGACAUGUUUUCAACACCAUCUCUGGUAUUAUGAAGUGCAUGAUACAUGCUGCAGUUUAAAAUGUUUUCCACAUCUGCAGAAAUAAACAGGCUUAUUAAGUAAUGAAACAAGAUUAAACAACAGUAUACUAAUAAAUUUCUUAUAAAGCAAGUAUACACAAAUUUAUAAACCUCCUAGUAUUACGUCAUUUGCAAUUAUAACCCGUCACUAAUAGGUCUAUUGAUUAGUGGCAUAAAAAGCUCUAGUAGCAGCAGUUCUUAGGAGUAGAGAAAUAUCACAAUAAAAAAAAGCAUAAAAAGUGUUUAUCCUGUACUCUUACCUUGAGGCCAUAUUACAAUCACAAUAAGACAUAUCCAGGCAUGUGUCACACUGGAUAAUACUAUUUCUUGGGUGUUUGAGGGCACUUGGCUUUACCUUGUACUUCAUAACAGCUGAGCCAUGUCACUUAGCUGCAUGAUCCCGGCUCUAGUGGAAAAAAUCACUAAGCUACAUAUUCAUAGUUAUUUUACAUUAAAUACUCAAAAUAUUUCAUUUACAUCAUUCACACACAAUGUUAUAAUAAAUAUUUUUUCAGAAGUUUUUCUCUUGGUGGAAGAGCUGAUCAAAUUAUUUUGAAUACAUACUAGCUGGUCAAUAUAGUGCUAUUUUCUGUUCUCAAAUGCAUUAUUAUUGAUAUGUGUUAUGAUAGCACCUAGAAACCUCAAACAAGGAUUAGGGCCCCAUAAUCAAUCCUUAUUUCUAUGAAAGAAUUCAUUACUUGCAAGUAUUUAUCAAGAAUAGUUUACGCAAACAAAUUUCAGUCUAUGGGCCCUUUCUAAAAUGUUCAUUUAGACUUUUUGCAAUUCAUCAUUCUUGAUGCAUGACUGAUUACCUCAGUCACAUGGUAUUAGUUCUGCUCUCCAACUGGCUGGAUGACGUUUUUUAAACAGGAGGUUAACAGCAAAAAGCAAUAACAAAUAUUCACACCUGAUUCUGCUUCCAUUUAAGUCCAUACAAGCACAAAGGACACUCAAUCGCACCCAUUUGUGAGAUGAACAUCUGUUUGUAUGAAUGUUCGCAUAUAGUGAGUAAAAAGGGAUACAAACAUGACAAACUAAACUGCCAUUUGGAAUCUGAACACCUGUUUUCAAAUAUAGUUUUGCGGUAUGAAAUCAGCUCUAUAUUUUGUGAAGACAGUAUAAUUACAAUUCUACAACAUUAUUAUUAAGAACCAAAAGUCAUGAGUAGAAUUAUCCUAAUUUCCUUCCCCUACCUAGGUUUAACUCCAAAUUAUUCUGUGUUACAAAUGGGUCUUAUUUUUGGAGCAAGAAUAUUGUUUGUCCCAGAGGCAGAUGCUCCUUGAUCUGUUGUUUUCAGAUUUCAGCCAUUGAUAAGGCAUUGGUGCAGCCUAUAAGUUCAGGAUAACAAUUUGAUCUGAGAAUAAAUAUCUAAAGGAGUUUUUAGUGUUUGAGGGAGCCAUUCAAUUUCUUACCUAGCCCGACAUAAAUGGAAAAAUAUAUAUAUAAAGGGUUUGGUCCUGCAUUUCUUGUGCAUUAAAAAUUCCUAUUGACUUUACUGGGAGUUAUGAAUGUGGAAAAGUUGGGUCCUUAUUUUCAUGGAAACUACUACAUUUCUAUUCUAUAUUGUUAUUUUUACAGUUGUAAAACUCUGUUUUACGUCUACUACCAUUAUACAAAAAGAGGAAGAAAUGAAGUAUUUAUUGUACCCAAGAGCAAAAUAUUGUAUUAUCAGUAAGUACCACUGGUUCCAAAUCAUGGAUUUCCAAUUCAAAUGCAGAUCUGACCUGCUGUAAAGUUUGAAGGUGUUAGGAUAAAGGGUUUUAAUUCAGGCCUUUCUCCUUUACUAAAGUAAUAAAUAGAAAUUGCUGUUGUUUCAAAGAAACACGUUUGCAAAAAAUACAGAUGAGUUUGAACGUGAAGUCAGCAGGGGGAAACACAGGAAAAAUAAUUGGGUCUGAGUCUCUUCUCUGGUGUAAGCUAGGAGUAACUGUACUGAAGUUACUGGUCUUUCACGGGUGUAAAGCUGGUGUGAGGGGAGAAUCAGGCCACUUGUGUUUAAAUAGAUAGAAUUACUUUGAGUACUUUUAAGAAAACAAUCUUCAAAUAAAUACAAAACAAAACAUAUUACCUUUUUUUGCAUGCAUGCUUAUUUGUAAGUGCAAAUUAGAUUUGAAUAUUCAUGAGUCACAAAUCAUUGACAGUUUGAAAUAAUGCAAAAUGAGGUUAAGGCAUGGGACAUCAAAGAAAUGCAUCGCUAAAUCAAUAGCAAUUUGAUUGCGCAUAUACUUGUAAAUUGCCGUUACAGUUUUUGACAUAGGAGAAAAAAAUGCUAUGCAUAUGGUGACAGGGGACACAUAAAUACUCUUUUUGUAUGUGUUUAUAUUUUUGCAGUUCAGCAUGUACUUGGAUAACUACUGUGUAUAAAGUGACCAGACAUAACUUUUUUAUUUUUUCAAGACAGUUACAGUUUCUUUUACUUAUCCCAUCUCUUGUAUUGUUUUGCUUAGUAUGCUAAAAAUUCAAUUUUCAAUAUACCUGAACAGCAAUGUUGUAAAAUAAAGCUUUUACUUACUGCAGAUGGCUUCAGAAGAAGGUUCAUCUGCUAAUCAAAGUACUAUCAUAAAAUCAUGUUCAGUGGAGAUUAUCCACUUGUUUCAGGGAAUUUUGUUCUAUGAGGUGGGAGUGAGUUGCAAGUCUCAGGGCAAAUUGCUAAAGUACAGAGCUUUAAAAUAAUGACAGAUUGAAAGAUGGCCAACAUAACCAUUUAAAUCAGAGCUUUUUCAUUUUGCCCUUCUGUAAGCAUCAAUAAAGUAUUGGAUCUCUGUC